GGCCAGGUAGCUCAGUCGGUAGAGCAGGGGACUGAAAAUCCCCGUGUCGGUGGUUCGAUUCCACCCCUGGCC
rnacentral:tRNA from 1 species